AGUUAGGGUUAAAGUUGACGUCUUUAGAUAUUGUUUGAUAAAUACUAUAGGUAACUAGCUGUCUAUUCAUUGCAACUUGUAUAUAAGACGCCACUCAGACAGAACUCCACAUUAUUUCAGCUAGAUUUCUCAACACUGUUUGACAGAUUUUCUCGAAAUGAAUAAUCUGGUUAUAUUGGGUGUUUUGUGCGUGGGUCUGGUAGCUGCUUACCCUCGACCCAAGGAAACUGAACUUGAGCACGUUUUAAGAGGUUUGUUAGCCAGACGACAGGGGCCCGGCGAUAAUGAUUCACCACCAGAAACCAACGGCCCAGACGAGGGAAGCGUCAGCGACGGGGGAGAAACUGGAGAAAGAAUGGGAAAAGAUUUCCUGAGAAUGCCCCUUGGUGCAUUUUUCAAGAUGGUAUUUUGUCACCCCGAGAGGCCUGAAGCCCGAAAAGAAGAGAAACCCCUUGACGAGCUUAAGAGACUUCUUAAUGAGCUGUCAGGUGGACCUGAAGGUGAACCAGCAGGUGAACUAAGGACGGGUCCUGGUAAAUUAGUAGAAAACCUAUGUAAAGCUCUAGAAGAGUUCGGUGCACGACCAGAAGGCGGAGGAGAACGGCCAGAAGGCCAAGGAGAACGACCAGAAGGCGGAGACGAAUUACCACCCCCUACCAAAUAAAAUCUCACUACUUCCUAUCAGCCGCCAGUUUUAAGUAUAUUAUAACAAGUCAGUCAGAUCUUUGGUACCAUGUGAACUCAAACUACUCUCCUGGCAAUUCCAAUCUGUUCAUUCCGUUUCUGUUUGUAAAUUUCAAAAUAAAUUCAAUUAUUUGAUUAAA